rnacentral:rRNA from 1 species
UACGAAGGGGGCUAGCGUUGCUCGGAAUCACUGGGCGUAAAGCGCACGUAGGCGGCUUUCUAAGUCAGGGGUGAAAUCCUGGAGCUCAACUCCAGAACUGCCUUUGAUACUGGAGAGCUUGAGUCCGGGAGAGGUGAGUGGAACUCCGAGUGUAGAGGUGAAAUUCGUAGAUAUUCGGAAGAACACCAGUGGCGAAGGCGGCUCACUGGCCCGGUACUGACGCUGAGGCGCGAAAGCGUGGGGAGCAAACAGG